UGGUGGCGGCUUUCUACACAGUUGGGCGUGAAUGUGAAGUCAUUAAGUUUAGUCACGCAAUUUAAUCGCUUAUAGGAAAGGAUGGAAGGCAAAUUUCUUAUUAAGCGUAUCGAGUGUCCCAAGGACGGGUUAGCCACAUGUAGUCAUUGGACUACAUGUAGCUAACAGCAGCAAUGGUUGUUCCGUGCUCAGCACGUGGUACCACUGUAAUGGAGGAAAAAGAGACUGACUCUCUGGCUCUUUGUUCUGUCAGCAGACUUAGAAUGAAUCGGAGUUCCUGGAGAACCAAGUUUCCAGAUGGAUGAAGAAGGAUCACUCUGAAGAUGGAUGAGCUGCCACCUCAGAGCACAUGAAACAGGAGUACUGUUACUACAUUAAGACUGCAGCCAUGAGCGCAUGGUGUACAAGGCAAGCAGAUGACUAGUACACUCCUAGCUCAUGCUUGUCCUCACAUUGAUGGAAAGGAGAUGGAGCGACUGUCUGACAGCUGUCAGACUGUGGCAGCCAAAGCUGGAUGACAUUUGAAAUGAUCCAUGGACCAGGUUCUCCAACUCAAAGAUGAUCAAAUAUCAAGUCACCCAGGAAAUGGAAGCGGUCACAUCUGAUUUACAAUGUUCCUGUGAAAACAGGCUGACUUGUCUCUGUGCAACUCAACUGACAUGGCUUUAACGCUUGCAAUGUAGAGGUGUCCAUGUUUAAAGGAAUGUCCUUUUUCACAACAAAAGGAGCUUUUUGUCUUUUUUUUUUUUUUUUUUUUCUUUCUUAGUGAUGGCAUAUUUGCAUGAAGUGACUCAUGACAGCUGAAAUUCUGCUUUGGGAUAUGUAAUGUGCUAUGCUUUGAGGUGAGAAGUAAUUGCAUACAUUGACUCAACUAUAAAACUCUGGGGUAGUUGGGUAUUUACAUUGGUUACUAUGGACUUGACUGAACUUAUUGGACAUCUUAGUUAGUGUAAACUUGAAAUGCACUUUGUAUUUCCCUUUAUGCCUCAUAAAGCAGAUGUUAAAUUAUAAACUGAAAUAAAACUACUUUACAUGGUGUGGUGCAGAAGGUGAAUUUAAGUCUGACUGCCUGAAGGAAGAACGUGCUCUGCAGUCUGACAGCAGAUACUUGUGUAUCUUUCCACAUGGCAGCAGGGUGAACAGGCUGAAUUAAAAUCUUGCCAUACCAGAUUAUAAUUUGUUGUUUAAUGUUACUUAGACAAUCAUCUAAUGUAUGUAAAAUAAACUUGAAAGGGGUAUUAUUUGUAA